AUGCGAUAAGUAAUGUGAAUUGCAGAAUUCCGUGAAUCAUCGAAUCUUUGAACGCACAUUGCGCCCUCUGGUAUUCCGGGGGGCAUGCCUGUCCGAGCGUCAUUGCGAACCCCUCAAGCACGGCUUGUGUGAUGGGCCCUCCCGCGUCUUGGUCGUCAAGAUGGGCCCGAAAUGCAGUGGCGGCUUCGCGGUUAUCCGAUCAGCCAGAGCGUAUGGGGACUUUCUCUCUGUCACACGCCCGCGGCGCGGACCGACGCCUGUCGACCUUCAUUCAUCGUUUUCUCGGUUGACCUCGGAUCAGGUAGGGAUACCCGCUGAACUUAAGC
rnacentral:misc_RNA from 1 species